rnacentral:rRNA from 1 species
GACGAACGCUGGCGGCGUGCUUAACACAUGCAAGUCGAAUGGAAAGGCCCUGCUUUUGUGGGGUGCUCGAGUGGCGAACGGGUGAGUAACACGUGAGUAACCUGCCCUUGACUUUGGGAUAACUUCAGGAAACUGGGGCUAAUACCGGAUAGGAGCUCCUGCUGCAUGGUGGGGGUUGGAAAGUUUCGGCGGUUGGGGAUGGACUCGCGGCUUAUCAGCUUGUUGGUGGGGUAGUGGCUUACCAAGGCUUUGACGGGUAGCCGGCCUGAGAGGGUGACCGGCCACAUUGGGACUGAGAUACGGCCCAGACUCCUACGGGAGGCAGCAGUGGGGAAUAUUGCACAAUGGGCGGAAGCCUGAGGCAGCAACGCCGCGUGCGGGAUGACGGCCUUCGGGUUGUAAACCGCUUUCGCCUGUGACGAAGCGUGAGUGACGGUAAUGGGUAAAGAAGCACCGGCUAACUACGUG